rnacentral:rRNA from 3 species
GGCCGCAAGGUUAAAACUCAAAUGAAUUGACGGGGGCCCGCACAAGCGGUGGAGCAUGUGGUUUAAUUCGAUGCAACGCGAAGAACCUUACCUGGUCUUGACAUCCACAGAACUUUCCAGAGAUGGACUGGUGCCUUCGGGAACUGUGAGACAGGUGCUGCAUGGCUGUCGUCAGCUCGUGUUGUGAAAUGUUGGGUUAAGUCCCGCAACGAGCGCAACCCUUAUCCUUUGUUGCCAGCGGUCCGGCCGGGAACUCAAAGGAGACUGCCAGU